UAGAGAAUGAAGCCUCACAAUGGUAUGAUGUUGGCUCCAUUGCACUUAGUUAAGUCAUUCCCACCAUGCAAGUUCGAGUAGGGGUUCAAGAACAACCUCACAAUGAUAUGAUGUUGAUCAUUCUCGUUGCCUACCUUCAGAACAUCAUGUAUGCAUAUAGAACUCCUCCUGAGUGUAUGCAUGCACUUUGUACUCCCCCAUGAUAGGGGGAAGUCGAUGUACGAGUCACAAACGAUCGGAGCCUACCACGGUGGAAGGCCACGAAAGAGUGUUGAAAGCACUCUCACACUUAUCAACUUAAUAAUGGUUUGGUUGGGGGUUUUAGGUCUAAUCACAUAUAAGCAUGCAUUUUAAUCUUAUUAAAACAAUUUAGUCCUAUUACAACUAUUGGUCCAUGUGAUUGAUUUAGUUGUAUAUGAUACUCUCACUAUGCUUGUAAAACGGCUUUUAAAGCAAGAGUAUAUGGUACUGCUAACAUAAGGUUUGCAUUCAUUGAUGGACUAUAUAGUUGCCUUAGAGCCUUACGAUGACUAUGAACCUUUGAUUCGAUCCAACAUGAGCCUAGUGUUGAAUCUCGGUCUAGGGAUGGUGAUUGAUUUUAGUUACACGUUUAAUCACAUUAAGGCAUGUUUUCUUAUUGGGCGUUGUACCCUCUACUUCAUUUUCAUGCAUAUCAAAUAAAGCAAGAAAGAAGUACUUCAA
rnacentral:lncRNA from 1 species